rnacentral:rRNA from 1 species
GUGGGGAAUCUUGCGCAAUGGGCGAAAGCCUGACGCAGCAACGCCGCGUGCGGGACGAAGGCCUUCGGGUCGUAAACCGCUUUCAGCAGGAACGAAAAUGACGGUACCUGCAGAAGAAGGUCCGGCUAACUACGUGCCAGCAGCCGCGGUAAUACGUAGGGGCCGAGCGUUGUCCGGAUUCAUUGGGCGUAAAGAGCUCGUAGGCGGUCGCGUAAGUCGGGUGUGAAAUCUCCGGGCUCAACCCGGAGGGGCCACCCGAUACUGCUCGACUCGAGUCCGGUAGGGGAGUGGGGAAUUCCUGGUGUAGCGGUGAAAUGCGCAGAUAUCAGGAGGAACACCGGUGGCGAAGGCGCCACUCUGGGCCGGUACUGACGCUGAGGAGCGAAAGCGUGGGGAGCAAACAGGAUUAGAUACCCUGGUAGUCC